CUCUCAUGGUCAUCCGCGGC
rnacentral:misc_RNA from 1 species